GGUAAACCAGCACCUCAAGUGGUCAGGAUGAUUAUUGGGCCUAAAGCAUCCGUAGCCGGCUCUGUAAGUUUUCGGUUAAAUCUGUACGCUCAACGUACAGGCUGCCGGGAAUACUGCAGAGCUAGGGAGUGGGAGAGGUAGACGGUACUCGGUAGGAAGGGGUAAAAUCCUUUGAUCUAUUGAUGACCACCUGUGGCGAAGGCGGUCUACCAGAACACGUCCGACGGUGAGGGAUGAAAGCUGGGGGAGCAAACCGGAUUAGAUACCCGGGUAGUCCCAGCUGUAAACUAUGCAAACUCAGUGAUGCAUUGGCUUGUGGCCAAUGCAGUGCUGCAGGGAAGCCGUUAAGUUUGCCGCCUGGGAAGUACGUACGCAAGUAUGAAACUUAAAGGAAUUGGCG
rnacentral:rRNA from 1 species